CAAACGCAUAGCGGACGAGCAGUAGUGUGUACAUAGAAUCAUUCCAGAUUUGAUGCUUAAAGACAAUAAAGUGAGAGUUGUGCAUAUUAAUUAUUUCAAAUGGUUGUAUAAUCAUUUCAUUGGAAUCCGAAUAAAAUGCGUUCACUAUAAAUCACCAGAAAAAAAGAAGCAGCGACCGGAAUGGCUUCAAACCAUCCAGAAAUUUUAGAAAGUACAAAAUCACCACCUUUUACGCCAGUGGAAACGGUUCCCCCAAAAACUAGUUUAUCGCAAACACGUCUCCAGACGGAACCUUCAGGAUCAAGAUCAAAACAAGAAAGUACAAAUUCAGAAACAUCGCAAUCACUUACAGCGCCUACAACACUGAAAGCAGAUACAUCAGAAACUCAGACCUUCAGUUUACGAUCAAAGCAAGAAAGUACAAAUUCAGAAACAUCGCAAUCACUUACAGCGCCUACAACACCGAAAGCAGAUACAUCAGAAACUCAGACCUUCAGUUUAAGCCUUCGCGUAAGUGGAUCGGAAAGUGAUCUUAAACAAGUACAACAAACAAUACAACGACGUUUUAUAAGAAGCCAUUUGUUUAUGGAGAAAUUGACUUAGAGCGCAACGGCCGAGCAAAGUUCAUCAAGGUUAAUAAUGCGGACAUAGGAAAGAGCAAUUUUUUAAAGAGACUUGCGGAAGAAGUUCUGAACGAGUACCCUUAUCCGGAUAAGAAACGCUUGCUGCUUUCGAUAACUGACGGUGCUGAAAAGUGAAACGAUGUGAAAAGAAGUAAAACUUUUAAGGAUAGCCUCAAGAAGAUUCUUCCCGGCACAUGUCUAGUGACGGGUGGAACAAACACUGGAGUUACACAACUAGUUGGAGAAUGCGUUCGUGAUUUCAACGAAAGCGCAAGAGGCAAAAAUGACACAUGUUUGGCUAUCGGAAUUAUCAACUUGGGGCACUACAAGAAUACAGGCUUACAUGUUAAAGAACGGUUGAAAACUUUUGUGUCGUCCUAUCGAUAACAACCGAAGAACUGGUAAGGACAGGAAAACACUCUGGUUUGAGUAUGCACUCGAUGAUAUACUUGUUGACAGACAUGCUUCGACACCUGUGUUCACUCUCAUAUCGCCAUCCACCAGUCAGUCUGCAGAGCCAGAUCCAGAAACAGAUGGGUAGCAACCGUCAACACGGUCUUGCCAGCGCGAAUAGGGGGACUCUUAAUCAGGAGAGCUACCUAAAAAGCAUGCUAUACUAAAUAAAGAAUAUAAAGCUCUGGAACUCAAGUUCAUAAGUUUCUAAAAGUUUUUUAAGAUUCACAAGACAAAAGAGAAAAUUAACGAUUGGUAACUGCUAGACAAAAGCACAAUGAUAAAGUUGUACUCUUCAAAAAAAAUUUAAUGUAAUGAAAAAAACAGCAGUAGUGACAUUCCAUCUCAGAAAUCCAUAAAAUAAUAAUAACCUAUGAUGUUAAAGGGGCCUUUUCACAGAUUUUUGGCAUUUUUUAACUUAUUCAUUAAAUGCUUUAUAUCGAUAAAUGUAAACAUUGGAUUGUAAAAGCUCCAGUAAAAAAUCAAGAAUAAACUUAAAAAAAGGAAAAGAACAUUGCCCGGACCAGGUUUCGAACCAGUGACCCCUGGAGUCCUGCCAGAGUCCUGAAGUAAAAACGCUUUAGCCUACUGAGCUAUUCCGCCGAGUACACACGCUGUACGUAUUUUAUACCUUAUAUAAGCAAUCUUCGUAGUUUCACAAAAUUUAACGACAAAAACAGAACUCUCCAAAUUAUUCAAUCGUUUCGCGUUGCAACGCUUUAUAAUUUUUAGGUUUUAAAAUCGUCAAAAGAUGCAUAUAAUGGCUCUAUUAGACCAUGGUAAAUGUUCAGUAUUACUGUUUCCUCACAAAUAUCAUAACUAAAACGAAAAUUUGCGAAUCUGAAACAACUUUUUUCAAUUUUGUCAAUUUACCAAAGCGUGAAAAGAUCCCUUUAAAAAGUAACCACAAACUGAAUGAUUUUGUAACAAUUAAAUGUUUGCUCUUAAUCCAUCAUCUACGUGAGUACAUGUUAAGAAUGUGUUUUGAUUGUAGUUUAUUAGAUACUUUGUUUUGUUUAGUAUGCUGUUAUAACUUUUGCCUUGCCACCAUCAUAUAAGUGGAGCUAUUCCACUGGCCCAAGUUUUGGCCGUGGUGUAGCCAUCGCAAUUGUUUGCAAACAUUGUCACAAAGUGCUCAGGGUGAGCUAUUUUGACCGGUUUUUUUCCGUCGUUGUUUGUCAACAUGUCAACUUGUGCAGAUAAUACAUAUCGUGUAAUUAAUAAUCACACCUGUAAAACAAGGUUUUUAUAUAUAUAUUUUUUUACAACGCAUAGUUUUGUAAUAUAUAAGAGACCUCGAUUUUGGCCCGAGUUUUAAUGAAGCAAUUGUUUUCAAUGACUUCUCUUUGGGCACUUUGGAUGUGUAGUUGCUAUAAGUUAAGUAAGGUAUUCUUAAAUUUCCCAUUAGCCUCUGGUUUUCAAAACAUAUCGAGGGUCUAUUUUCUGUCACUGAAUUUCAUAUACUGGUGUCUUUUUCGAAAGGCAAACAUUUGACCGAAUCUGUAAGAAAGUACCUCGAGCUAUAAGGCAAGUAAAGGGGCCACAUAACAUUGCUCAUUACAUCUUUGUAUUGUCCAUGUUGUUGUUUGUUUCUUGUUAAGUUUAUGUUGAAUUGCCAUUGUUUUAACAUUUCAAUAGCUAUUUUUGUGAUGGUAUUGGCCUAUUUGUCAUGAAGCUUGGUCGUACCAUUUUGUUUUAUCGACGAUUUGUUGUGAAAAACAAUCGAACAUUAAGUAUAUUGGGUAAGACCUUGUUGUCAUGAUAGAUGGAAGCGACUAUAAAACCAAUUGAACUGGAACUUUCUCGAUACGUUUGGCUGAUUGACUUAAAUUUGACUGACAGUAACAGUAUAGCCAUUGUCUUCCGUCCUAUGAUUUCUAGUCACACGAUUCGUUAGAGUUAUUUGGUCAGAUCAGAGUUGACUGUAACUUUAAGCUUUUUAUACGGUAAGAGAGGUGUAUCAAUUCGUUGAACUGGUUAUUAAUAUAUGUGAUUUCGCGAUAGCUUGUCUUUGUGACAAAAAGUCAUUGUGAUAAAUGUUUUGUUUUUAUUCUGUUAAUAAAAUGUAAAACAACAAAAAGUGCCAAUUUCAUGUGUUUUUUUCAUUAACAAAUCAAAUGUUAAGCGCAUGGCAAUGUCUCUUGAUACAGUUUCAAAUACGAAAAAUACUGAAAUGUUCAGUAGUACACUGUCUAUUAAUAUUAUUUUUGGUGCGAUUGCCUUCUAAUAUACGUAUACUGAAGAAUGUAUUCCGUUACUGCAUUUAACCACUUUGCAACUAGAUUCUGCAUUCGCAUUUAAAAUAACUCCGAUGAGCGCGUUCCAUCUAUGGCAACGUCUUUCUACUGUGGCAUUGUACCCGAGUAACACGCAGUCCUCAUAAAAGGUGUAUACAGCGACGAAAUAUCGGUUCAAUACUGAACUAUCUACACUUAACCGAUACAGCGCAUUUAUGUUCUUUCGUUUCAAGAAAUCAACUGCGUUCGCGAUAUGGGCGACACAAUUUAAUUACCACGCGAAAUAUUUAUUUCUGUCGAAGUAAACAUCUCAAUGUUCUUUGCGCUACACAGUUUUUGUAUGACAAUUCGCCCGUGCUUUUCAUGCCAGUUUUGAACUUUUUCCUUACACACGAAAAACAUGUUGUGGUUGUCACUUUCACAGCAGCUAAUUAAUUUGCGUUCAUGUUUUACAAGAAAUCAAAACAAUCUCGUACAUGUCCGUCCUAACAGUAGAGCAUUAUCAACAUUUAUUGUUGGUGUUUGUUCCCAUAAAGUCGCUAUAUGACCUACACUGUGUCGGUGUGAUUGAAAAAUCCAGGAAAUAAUUGAAUUGAAUAUACAUGUACAUAUAUGAAUAAUAAUUGAAUCUGCAUGAUGUAUAGAAACCUUGUGACAGCGUUUGUCUUCACGAAAUCUCAGAUGCAUAGAACACUAAAUCAGAGUAAAAACCUAGGUCACCAGUUUAAAUGAUAGUAAUCAAAAUUGUCUUUACAAACGUUUCGCAGUUAUGAAUUGGCACGUGUGACAAUGACUUGUUUAAAAAGCAUGCAUUUGCUUUUAACCCCAAUAGCUAAUCCAUAUAUAAUGUUGACAGCCUGCCACUCUUCAUUAAUUCCAUCUGUUUGAUUCUACAUGAAAGGUGAUUGAUUGGCAGCACGGUGUAUAGUGUUUAUACGACCACAAAAUUUGAGCAAAAUCGCCCCAUCAAUACUUUCAGUACUUUGAUUAUUUAAUACAUCUCAGCAUUGUUGGAAGGUGCAACUUAUGUUAUAUUGUGCUGUCUGUUAUCAUGAAAAACAAGGUCCAUUUCAUGUCCAUUUAAUGUACAUAAGUUACGAAGAAUAUAGCAUGCAAUAGCAGUUUAAAAAAUGAACUCGGUAUCUACCAUACCAACAUCUAUUUGUCUCUAACAUCUAUUGUAUUAACAUGCCAAAACUGUUUUCAAUAGCAACACGAUUUCCAGACAGUCUUUUUUUAAAGCUCACUUGUGACAUGACAAUUAUUUCAUUAACUCCUCCACAGGAGGUAAGCGUGUGGCUAUGAUAUUAAUUUUGCGGGUGAUUUCGAGUUGACUUCCUUGUUGUACAUAUAUUUGAUAGUGAUUUUUUUCAGAAAAGUUGAUUUUUCGUUAUAACAUGAUUAUUUAUCAUUCAAAAUGAUGUUUUCACUAAUUAAUAUCAAAGCCACACGCUAACCACAUGUGAACUCCUGAGUACAGGAUCACUCACAGAUCUAAAUAAAUAAAUCUUGAAUUUCAAAUUCUCUUACGACGAGCAUUGCGCGUGAAUUCCAGUGACCCGAAAAUAAUAUAGAGCUAUCGUUAUUGAUUUAUUGUUAUUGAUAUAAAUGAGCGUUGCCUCGUUUUCAACAAAAUAUUAUGAGUGGCAUAUGUUUCAACGGUUGUUUAUUCAAUACAACGUUUGUUUUCUCAUGGACUACUUUGUAAUAAAAUCUACGCGGAAUGAAUCACUCGGGUUUGCGAACUACGGAAGAACAAAAUUGUCAAAAACUGCGAUAUUUGAUGUUUAUUAAUAUACAAUGGGAGGAAAUAAUAUGAUAAAUAGAAUAUUAUAUGAGUUUUUGAUAAAGAUCAAGUGUAUCAUGAUCGGCUCGAACUACCAUGGUUCUAAGCCUCGCAUGAUAAACUUGAUCUUUAUCCAAAACUCACAUAAUAUUCUCUAUAUAUACGAUAUCAUCUACUUACCUUGAGAAGAUUUGCAGUAUUUGUUGAAAUUCUUGUAUGAGACUUAUAAUCCUAUAAAAUGUAUUGUAGUUUAGAGAUGUUUAAUACGUUUUUUAUAAACGAAACCAGAAUUUAUGAAAGCACUCCUCGAUCCAUGUAUUAUGCUACUAUCGGUUUAAAUUCUUUUGAGUAUUCCAGUAUUCAAACAAAAGAAUAACAUAUUGUCGAAUUUAUCAUGCUGCUUUAUAUUUCCAAUAAAAUAUUAACUUAUUAAUUAAAACGAUAAAAUGAUUUGUAAAUACAAAGCUGCAAUUUAAUGAAUUCAUUUAUCAGUUAAGUUGAUAUUAUCGAUAUGCAUUUGAGGUUAAAAUUCGCAGUAACAAUUGUUAUACUAUUUUUCUGCUUAAGUGGGGGAUUGUAAUAUGCGAAUUUUCGAACUACACUGUGACAGUGUAUAAAAAUAAGUGUUUAGCAUUGAAUACCUUUUAACCGACUAUCGAUACAUACAUUUUUGUUAUAUCCAAAAUGUACAUUUAUUACAUAAUGAUUAUAUCUUCAUUUAAUGAAUACGAGUCUAUCAGUCAAGGCAAACCUGUCGAUAUGCCCAUUUUAAAACUUAUUGGUUAUAUAUUAUGUAAACAAAUGUGUUUAUGACAACAUUAUGUACUUAUAAACUAACAAGGGUAUUA